rnacentral:rRNA from 1 species
GAUGAACGCUGGCGGCGUGCCUAAUACAUGCAAGUCGAGCGAACGGACGAGAAGCUUGCUUCUCUGAUGUUAGCGGCGGACGGGUGAGUAACACGUGGAUAACCUACCUAUAAGACUGGGAUAACUUCGGGAAACCGGAGCUAAUACCGGAUGAUAUUUUGAACCGCAUGGUUCAAAAGUGAAAGACGGUCUUGCUGUCACUUAUAGAUGGAUCCGCGCUGCAUUAGCUAGUUGGUAAGGUAACGGCUUACCAAGGCAACGAUGCAUAGCCGACCUGAGAGGGUGAUCGGCCACCCUGGAACUGAGACGCGGUCCAGGCUCCUACGAGAGGCAGCAGUAGGGAAUCUUCGGCAGUGGUCGAAAGCCUGACGGAGCAACGCCGCGUGAGUGAUGAAGGUCUUCGGAUCGUAAAACUCUGUUAUUGGGGAAGAACAUAUGUGUAAGUAACUGUGCACAUCUUGACGGUACCUAAUCAGAAAGCCACGGCUAACUACGUG